rnacentral:rRNA from 1 species
UACGUAGGGUGCAGGCGUUAAUCGGAAUUACUGGGCGUAAAGCGUGCGCAGGCGGUCUUUUAAGUCAGAUGUGAAAUCCCCGGGCUUAACCUGGGAACUGCGUUUGAAACUGAAAAGGCUAGAGUGUGGCAGAGGGGGGGUGGAAUUCCACGUGUAGCAGUGAAAUGCGUAGAGAUGUGGAGGAACACCGAUGGCGAAGGCAGCCCCCUGGGCUAACACUGACGCUCAUGCACGAAAGCGUGGGGAGCAAACAGG